GUAUUCUUUAAGUGCCCACUAUGUAUCAGCCAAUGAUCGUACACGUUACGUUGUUGCAUCCGACCCAGUCUCGCACGCGUGUGCGCGUCGUGGGACGGAGCGUCAAACAAUAGAGGUUGGGACAAAAGCGGUGUCGUAGUACCACAUGUGUACUGCGCAUUCAAUAAUGAUCCUUCCGCAGGUUCACCUACGGAAA
rnacentral:misc_RNA from 1 species